rnacentral:lncRNA from 1 species
AAAAACGCAGGGCUUCGUCACAGCAACGUAAGGACCAGGUUCACGAGUUAUGUUCCACUCUGAACUAUUGAAUGUUGAAAUCUGAUCAAUUAAAGUCUAGGAUUAUUAGUCUUUGUGGAUUUUUUCUAGGUUUAUUAUUGAGUUGUAAUAAUUCCUAGAUUGUGUAACAAGAAGUGGGUUUGACUUCUUGGGAAGUAGAGUCUUGAGAAAAUUUCCACAAGAAGUGGGUUUGACUUCUUGGAGAGUAGAGUCUUGAGAGAAUUGUAACAAGAAGUGGGUUGACUUCUUGGGGGUAGAGUUAAGAGAGAGUUGUGAGAGAAUUGUAACAAGAAGCGAGUUUUGACUUCUUGGAGAGUUGAGUGUUCGAUUAUAGCUAAUUGUUGGAGAGUUAAAGGUACUAGAGUUAGUUCCUUUUGAGUUGUAAUCCUAAAAAGGACGUGAAUCUUGAAGUGAAUAAGAUUGUGGUGUGGUUUUUACCUUCCUUGAGGUAGGAGGGUUUCCACGAUAAAAUCUUUGUUUUAUUGUGUUGUAACAAAAGUACAAGAACCUGGUUCUUGUAUAGGGGUAAUGUUUCUUCAAUUGGUAUCAGAACAUGUCUUUUCAUUAAAAGACUCACAUCUUGAAAAGGAUCAAUGACUGCACCACCUACACCACAAGAAGGAGCUUCUCAAACUCGACCACCACUGUUUAAUGGAAAGUAUUAUGGAUGGUGGAAGAACCGCAUGAUGGAUCACUUACUAGGAGAAAACCCAGACCUAUGAGGAGUCGUGCUGGACGGUCUAACCAUACCCAUGAAGAAUGGAACUGAUGGAACCACUCAAGUACCAAAGGAUAGGAAAGAAUGAAAUGUUGCGGAUAAACUUGCAAUUCAGAACAAUGCUAAAGCAAAAAAAGAUCUUGAUAUGCAGAAUAGGUCCAGAUGAAUACAAUCGAAUCUCAUCAUGUCAAGAUGCAAAAGCAAUAUAGGAAACUCUGCAAACUGCGCAUGAAGGAACAACUCAGGUAAAUAAGUCUAAAAUUGAUAAUUUGAACAGACAAUAUGAACUGUUUCGAAUGGCAGAAGGUGAAACAAUCCAAGUGAUGCACACCAGGUUCACUGCUAUCAUUAAUGAAAUCUACUCACUAGGAGAAAUAAUUCCCAAUGGGAAAACAGUCAGAAAUUUUUUGAGUGUUCUUCCAGAGUCUUGGGAAAGCAAAGUAGAAGCCAUUACUGAAGCACGUGAUCUAGAUAAGUUAGCUAUGGAUGAACUCAUCGGAAAUCUCAUGACCUAUGAACUCAAGAAAAAACAAGAAAAUGAAAUUGGAGGCAAAAAGAAGAAGAAGAACAUGGUUCUUAAAGGCACAACACCAAAAGAUUUUGAGGAUGAAAACAUUGCGCUAAUGACCAAAAGGUUCUCAAGAAUGUUAAAAAAGGGACAAGUGUUUCAAAGAAGGAACUCUCAGAAAACCACUAAAAAUCUAAUAGAUCAAGUAUGUCACAAGUGUGGAAGUCCGGAUCACUUUAUCAAGUUUUGCCAAUUAAAAGCUCUAGAGAAAAAUAGGAACAGUUUGAAGAAAGUAAAAGAAAUCAAGAAUGAUAAGUACAUUCCCACAAACAGACGAAUGACCAAUCAAGAAGCUGAUCACUCAAUGAAAAGGGCCUUCGCCGCUAUGGGGGGUUCAUCAAAAGAAGAAUCUGAGGAUGGAUGAUUCGAAAAUCAAUCACUACUUGCAAUAGAACAAACAAAUAAAUAUGAUUUUCUUGCACUCAUUGCUGAAAUAAAUUCUGAAGAUGAUGAAGAAGAUGACAAACAAAGCAAGGUAAGUCUUCACCACAUUAAAGUAAAUAUUGAUUCAUAUUCUAAAAGAGAACUAGAAUCCCUAUUGAGUACUCUUAUAGAUGCAUAUUAGUCAAUCAGUUCUGAAAGAGAACAAAUGAUGGAAAACUAUGCAUCUUUAAGAGAAGAAAAUGACAAUCUUGAGAAACACAAUCAGUGUCUUCAAAAUAAAUUAAAAAACAGGUUAAGACCUCAAAGUUAAGUCACAAGGGCAAAAACUCUGCUAGUGAACUUCAUUUAGCUCUGGAAGAAAAAAUAAAACAGUUAACCAUUAAUUGCCAGGCCUUAACUGAAAGAAAUAGGCUGCUACAAGAAAAUCUUAAUCAUACCAAACUUGAUUUGGAACGAAAUCUUAGAUGGACCAGGUCCUCUGAAAUUUUAACUCAAAUUCAAGAAAGGCAAACCACCAGUCGAAGUGGGAUAGGUUUUAGAAAACAGAAUAAUCUAGUAGCACACACUAUUCACAUGUCUAAAAGUUUAUGCACUCAUUGUGGAAACUCAGGUCAUUUAAAGAAUCAAUGUAAAGCUCUAUUUGAGGCCUUUCAGAAAAAUGUUAAGUUCACCAAAAAGGAAAAGGCUGAAACGGUUAAGAACCUGGUUCCAAAUAAAAAUGCUCCAGAUAAAAGGUGAGUCUAUUUGCCUUUAUGGGCUAGAAGAAAUAUUAUUCAUCCUUUUACUCACAAAAAGGGCCCCAAGCUAAUUUGGGUUCCCAAGACUAAUCUUUGACUAGUGUUUCAGGUGAAGGUGAGAGGGAAAAGGUCAACCUGGUACAUGAAUAGUGCAUGCUCCAAAAAGGUGCUAAAAAUGGUAGAAAAUUUCCUCUUGCUCUUUGAUUUUCAAGGCGGCAGUGAAGUCCUUGAAAAGGAUGAAAAAAACGAAAGAGACAAGAUUGAAAAAGUUGAAGAAAGUGACAUGAUAUCAAACAUCUUUGAUGAUGCAAAUUUAGGGAACAUUGCAAAUGAACCUGGUUCACAUCUAACAAUCAUUGAUGCACCUGCAUCAGAAGUUACUGGACUAACCCAUGGUCUCGGAGAUAGGGGGAAUAAUAGAGCAAUCAGGACACUUAGAGUAUGGUACACCUUCAGGGGGAACUUCGUUGUGUGAACCUGGUCCUUGUUAUUCAAUGGAAGUUAUUGAAAAUUGAUUGGAGUUGGUUCUCUGUUACUCAGAUUGAGAUUCCUUUGAUCUGGGAGAAUAUGAUGAUGCAGACAUACUCAUGAAGGCCUUGAAUAUGAAGAACUUGAGAAAAAUCAACCAAAGUCUGGUCUUAUCGAAACAAGCUGAUGCAUUAUUAUGAUUUCCUUUAAUAAUUGGCUAGUAAACUAAUAAUUUUAUGCUUGAGUAAUUAUACAAUGAAUAUUUGCUAACUCAGUCUCGUACUGCAACAGGUACACACUCCAGGCACAUCUCAAACAAUGUUUAAAAGGUCUGCGGAUAUUAUCCCUACUCUUUUGCUAACAACAUUAAGUUAAUCAUUGAGGAACACACAAAAUGGGAACUUGGUUUCUUUGUAAUACUCAGGUCUGUACCAUCCUUUUCCAAUGCAUGAAUUUCCUGAGUUUGUGUCAAACAUAAGCACUAGAAAACCUGGUCGAUCAUCAAAAUCCAACUUGUAGACACGUAAUUUUUGACCGAACAUAAGGUUUUACACUAUUUUUUAUUCCUUAAAUAUUUCUUUUAUGUCUAAGUUAGAUAUUUCAAUUUUGUCUUAUUUUAGUAAGUUUAUUUUAAUGAUUUGAAAAUAACAAAAAUAUAUGUUUCUUUUAAUUUAACAAAUAAGCUAGUAUUUAGUGAUUAUAAUUUAUUAUUAGCUAUUUAGUUUUUGGUUAGUAAAAAAAAAGGGGGUCAAAUAAUUAUAUAAUAUUAUAUUAUAUUAUGUUUAUUAUAAUAUAAUUAUUAAAAAUAAAAAUAUUAAUCUAAUCUACCAACGGAAAAGGGUCAAAAUUGCCCCUGAACUAUAUGAAAUAGUUCACUUAUACCCUCCGUUACAUUUUUGGAUCAAAAAUACCCCCGCCGUUAUCCCAAGAGACCACAAAUACCCUUCAAAAGUUAACAUUCUAAAUUUUUAGUGACGUGGCAAGCCACAUAGGACUGAUUCCUCCACCUAAGCUGCCAACUAGGAUUUCCACUAACCUAUCAAUCAAUCCUCCCAAAAAUUAACCUCCAUAAGUUCCAUAACUCAAGCAAUGUAUACAAAGUUAUGUAUUCUGUUACUAAUUCUACAUUUCAAUACCAUGUGGAACGAAAAAAAGUUGAACAUAUUAUUUCUUUUGAUAAACAACCAGAUACUAAGUGUGGAGUUUUAUCCAAAGCUGUUGUAGGAAAGCUACCAACUCAUCCGCAUAAUCAAGAACCAUUUGUCGAGCAAAACAAUAUUCAAAAUAAUUUCAGUGCUCAGUUUAGUUAUCUAAAUUACUAUCGAUAUAGACAAUUAACUUGAUCUUGAAAAUUAAAUCACUUCCUCAAUUGAAUUGAUGGAGCCUCUGACAUUGCUUCAGUGAUAAAGAAGAUUUGAUUUUUUUCUCUCAAAAUUAGGUUUGAUUUGGGAAGAUGAAUUGAUUGGUCAACAUGAAUGAAUUAGUGGGAAUCCUAGUUGGCAUCUUAGGUGGAGGAAUUAGUCCCAAGUGGCUUGCCACAUCAUUAAAAAUUUGGAAUGUUAACUUUUGAGGGGUAUUUGUGGUCUCUUGGGAUAACGGCGGGGGUAUUUUUUAUCCCAAAAUUAUAAUGGAGGGUAUAAGUGAUCUAUUUCAUAAAGUUCAGGGGUAAUUUUGACCCUUUUCCGAUCUACCAAAUACCCCAUUUCCUUGUCAAAUAUUACCCGACCCCACUUCUCCCUACCACUUUCUUUUCCACUUUUUCCCUGCCACUUUCUCUAAUCCCAUUACCCCAAUACCCCAAUACCCCCACUCUUCCUCACCACAUACACAUUACACACACGUACAUACACACACUACCACCACACCCUAUACAUUUACUACAACAACGGACAGACAGGAGAGACAACAAAAAAUCAGCAACAUAAAAAAGAGGAAGAAAAACAAAAGGGAAAAAUCAGCAACAACACACACACAACACGAGGGAAAAAAAAAACUUCCAAAGAAAGAACAAAAAAUCAGUUCCACCAUUUUCAAUUCAACAACAUAUAUACAUUUACAUUAUUCCAAUACUACUCCAAUACUCACAACACCAAAUACACCAAAAACUCUUUCCUUCCAGCAACACAAACAAACAAACAAAAAAAUCGCACAACAACAAAAGCAAACAAAAAAAAAAGAGUUGAGUUUGACGUUUUUGUUGGUGGUUUUGCAUUCGUGGUUCCGGCUGUGGUCAUUUCCUUGUGAAUUAAUUUUCACAAGAGGUAACACUUAAUUCUUUUAUAUAAUUUAAUGUCAUGAUUAUACAAGCAUUGGUUGCAAUAUAUUGAAAUUGUUAAAUUUCGUAUGUGUCUAAUUCAUUAAUAUUCAUUGAUGUUAUAAUAUGAAGUAAGUUCAAAUCUUUCAUAUCAACUUUAUGUUUAGAUCUUUUAUAUCAUUAGACUUAGUGCAAAAUUGUUAUAACAAACCUUAGUUUAUUUUAUGUUUAAACAAUCCAUGGUUUAUUUCAUGUUUAAGUUAAACUAUUGUCUACAUCUAUUCUUGUUUAUAUACUUUGAUUCUCUUAUGAUGAUACAUGUAUUUAUGGCUUAGCAAACUGAAAUGAUGAGAAUAAUUAAUGACAAAUACUUAUUAUGUAAAAUAUUGAUUUUAAUUAGUAGAUUUUUCUUUUCAUUUUAAUGACUAAAAUAAAGAAAAAUAAAAGAUUUUAGGUGCCCAUAAUUUCUAACAUGUUUAUACAAUUAUACUAAUGCAACAUGUGUAAAAUUUGUAUGGGAAGGUGUAUUAUUUUAAUUUAUAUUCUUAUUAAUAUUGUGUUCAUUCUUUUUUUAGAAAAACAUAAAAUAAAACUAAGAUAACAUGUAGUUUAGGCUUAUAAUAAUAAUAAUAAUAUGCAAAUAUUAAGAUCUAAAGAACAUUAAACUACUUUUAGUCUUGAAAUACAAACAAAUAAACAAUUUGCGACAAGGUUGGAAAGCGCUGCUAUCAAUACACCACACACUAAUAAAGAUAACACAGUUUUAACUAGUUUAAAAUAAAUCAAAGAAGGCGGGAUAUUAGUAAAUUUAUUACCCUCAUAAGUAUAAUAUAUCCAAAAUAAAGUCAAGUCAUAUACAAGUCAAUAGAGCGACUGUACUAGAACCACGGGACUCGAGAGGUGCCUCACACCUUCCCCUCGCUCAACAGAAUUCUUUACUUAGACUUCUAGUUCGCAGAUCAACAAAAUAAAGAGUCAAUUUCCUUUUGAUUAGGGAUUUAAAUAAGGUGUCUUGGAACACCAAAACUCAAUUCCAAGUGGCGACUAUGAAAUAAAAUAAUCUCUUUUCAAAAUGUCACUUCAAUUGGAAAAACUCUAUUUUCAAACAUUCGUUUUGGAAAGAAAUAGGGGUGUGACACAACUCCUUUAAAAAUCACCAAGAACCCUCUCUUUGACAAUAAGCAUCAUUCAAUCCCAAACCGCUCUAAUGAUGAAAACCUUAGUCUUGAAGCCACUCAUUCUUUAAUUCAGGGGAACCUUGCUUUACCUCUCAUAUCUGAACUAGGUUCACAAAUUCCAAAUUGGUAUUCCAUCCAUUCCAAGUGUAUAACCAAUUUUAUCUCUCAGGGGGGAACAAUUCUCAUAGGAAUAAACUAUUAUCGGUGCUUGCCUUCAUUAUUGAUAAACACAUCUCUAUUGCACCAAAAUGUGAUGAAUCUCUUGCUUAUUUUUGGUACUCCUUCGAAAUGUCAUCACAAAAAAGGCUAUAAAAAAAAAGGCCAUGGAGGAGUGAAAAUGUUAUGGAGUAGAAUUUAAAAAAAUGAAAAGUUCAAAAAGUAAAAAAGAUCUCCAUAACUCAUUUGUUAUUGGUCCUAAUGCUUGAGAAUACUCACCUGGUCUUCUUGAAUCUGAUUAUGCUUAACUGAUGAUGGACCUCAUGUUGCUCUUGAUGAAAUUUCACAAUCUAAGAAAACUGAUCAGAACGAAGGAGCUGGUGCACAAUGGGCAUACUGAAAAAUUAUUAAUGGCAGUAAAUAUCCCUUUCCUCCUCACUUUAGUAAUCUUCUUCCCAAUCCUUAUCCUCAAUUUUUUUUUCAGACUCUUUGAUGUGCUUAUGCCUGUCUCAUACUCAUGAUAUCAUAUGCUUUUGAUUUAGGGCUCUAAGGGUUUAAACUGGUACAUAUUUGUUUAUUUUUGUUUCUCAUUGAAGAUCUUGAAUAUAUGUGAGUUUAAGAUGGCUAAUAUCCUCAGAUUAACUUACUUUAUUGUUAGCAGAGGUGUAUUUGAAAGUGUUGCCCAAAUGGCCAUGAGUUAAAAUGAUAUUGCACUCAUGAAUGUUAAUCGAGUUCUAAUUUGGUUAUUGGUUUUCAAUGAUGCCAAAAGGGAGAAGCUAUAUGAUGUGGGUUAGUGACAUAUUAUACAUAGUUUGUCAUCACCAAAAAGGGGGAAAUUGCUGGGGAAUGAGACAACAUGAAUUUUGUAGUUUUGAUGAUUGACAAAGAAUCUUGAUGGUUUGUAGUUUUGAUGAUUGACAAAGAGUCUUGAUGUGUGACAAAUCAUUGUUUAUCAUCAUCAAAAAAGGGGGAAAUGUUGGGAAGUAGGAGAACAUAUAAAGUAGUUUUGAUGAUUGAUAAAGUGAACAUGGUUCACUACUUGUUGUCUUAUGUGUACUCUAUCAGGUGAACCAGGUUCUCAGACGUGAUUGCAGAUGACCUGUACAAUUAUGAGACAUUGCAGCAAAGAAGAAAAAGUGCAGAAAUAAAGAAGGAAAAGAAGGAAACAAAUAGGGAAAGAAAUAAAUAAGGAAAGAAAUAAAAAAGUAGCAAUUUAAGUCAAAUAAGGAAAUAAAUAAAGAAGUAACAAUUCAAGUCAAAUAAGAAAAGAAGUAAAUAUAGACAAGUUCAAGAAGGAAAAUGAUUUGUUAUUCCUUUCCUUGUAGAAGUUGAUGAAGGCAAAUCAAACUCUAUAAAAGGUUCAAGACAUUGAAGGAAAAAAGUCGUCUUUGCAAAAACACAAAUCGAGAGAAUUUUUCAGCAAAGCCAGAACAAUACCUAUUGUAUAUUCACGAAAUUUAUCAUCUUGAGAGCAGUAGUUAUUGGAGAAAAACGCAGGGCUUCGUCACAGCAACGUAAGGACUAGGUUCACGAGUUAUGUUCCAUUCUGAACUAUUGAAUGUUGAAAUCUGAUCAAUUAAAGUCUAGGGUUAUUAGUCUUUGUUGAUUUUUUCUAGGUUUAUUAUUGAGUUGUAAUAAUUCCUAGAUUGUGUAACAAGAAGUGGGUUUGACUUCUUGGAGAGUAGAGUCUUGAGAGAAUUGUAACAAGAAGUGGGUUUGACUUCUUGGAGAGUAGAGUCUUGAGAGAAUUGUAACAAGAAGUGGGUUUGACUUCUUGGAGAGUAGAGUCUUGAGAGAAUUGUAACAAGAAGUGGGUUUGAC